rnacentral:rRNA from 1 species
CCAGACUCCUACGGGAGGCAGCAGUGGGGAAUAUUGGGCAAUGGGCGCAAGCCUGACCCAGCAACGCCGCGUGAAGGAAGAAGGCCCUCGGGUUGUAAACUUCUUUUGUCAGGGACGAAACAAAUGACGGUACCUGACGAAUAAGCCACGACUAACUACGUGCCAGCAGCCGCGGUAAUACGUAGGGGGCGAGCGUUAUCCGGAUUCACUGGGUGUAAAGGGAGCGUAGACGGCCAAGCAAGCCAGGGGUGAAAGCCCGGGGCCCAACCCCGGGACUGCCCUUGGAACUGCUUGGCUGGAGUGCGGGAGGGGCAGGCGGAAUUCCUGGUGCAGCGGUGAAAUGCGUAGAUAUCAGGAGGAACACCGGCGGCGAAGGCGGCCUGCUGGACCGCGACUGACGUUGAGGCUCGAAAGCGUGGGGAGCGAACAGGAUUAGAUACCCCUGUACC